GCCUGGUAACUUUUUAGAGUUCAAUCGGGAUUCUGCCACCUUCUCCACAUAAUAUGCGAUAUCCAAAAUCCCAAAUCCCUGGUGUAGACGACGUGCGUUUGUGAUAAUGGCCCCAGGGAACAAUUAUGAUAUUUGAUGGUAUCGUACCUUUUAUAUCCUCCCCUCAAUGCCACGUGCUCCUUCCUUAUCUUUUGCAUGGCACCAAUCUAAACCAAAGAUUGGUUUUGAUGAUGUUUGAAUGCCUCGCAAGCC
rnacentral:lncRNA from 1 species